GAUCAAGCGACUAAGUGCAUCUGGUGGAUGCCUUGGCGAUCAUAGGCGAUGAAGGACGUGUAAGCCUGCGAAAAGCGCGGGGGAGCUGGCAAUAAAGCAUUGAUCCCGCGAUGUCCGAAUGGGGAAACCCACCUCUUUUGAGGUAUCCCUGGCUGAAUCCAUAGGCCAGCGGAGGCGAACCCGGCGAACUGAAACAUCUAAGUAGCCGGAGGAAAAGAAAUCAACCGAGAUUCCGCAAGUAGUGGCGAGCGAACGCGGAAGAGCCUGUACGUGAUAGCAGUCGUGUUAGAAGAACGG
rnacentral:rRNA from 1 species